GGUUAGGGUUAGGGUUGGAGUUAGGGUUAGUGUUGGAGCUAGGUUAGGGUUGGGCUUGGAGCUAGGAUUUUUCUGAGUGCACUGAACCAACUCCCGAGUCUCUAGGACAUUCCUAAAAAAAAUUGAUUUUUUCCCAUAGGAAUGCAUGGGUUAGGGUUAUGGUUAGGGUUAGGGUUGGAGCUAGGGUUAGGGUUAGGGUUAGGGUUGGAGUUAGGGUUAGUGUUGGAGCUAGGGUUAGGGUUGGGCUUGGAGCUAGGAUUUUUCUGAGUGCACUGAACCAACUCCCGAGUCUCUAGGACAUUCCUAAAAAAAUUUGAUUUUUUCCAUAGGAAUGCAUGGGUUAGGGUUAUGGUUAGGGUUAGGGUUGGAGCUAGGGUUAGGGUUAGGGUUAGGGUUGGAGUUAGGGUUAGUGUUGGAGCUAGGGUUAGGGUUGGGCUUGGAGCUAGGAUUUUUCUGAGUGCACUGAACCAACUCCCGAGUCUCUAGGACGUUCCUAAAAAAAUUUGAUUUUUUCCCAUAGGAAUGCAUGGGUUAGGGUUAGGGUUAGGGUUGGAGCUAGGGUUAGGGUUAGGGUUAGGGUUGGAGUUAGGGUUAGUGUUGGAGCUAGGGUUAGGGUUGGGCUUGGAGCUAGGAUUUUUCUGAGUGCACUGAACCAACUGGAGUCUCUAGGACAUUCCUAAAAAAUUUGAUUUUUUCCCAUAGGAAUGCAUGGGUUAGGGUUAUGGUUAGGGUUAGGGUUGGAGCUAGGGUUAGGGUUAGGGUUAGGGUUGGAGGGAGCUAGGGUUAGGGUUGGGCUUGGAGCUAGGAUUUUUCUGAGUGCACUGAACCAACUCCCGAGUCUCUAGGACAUUCCUAAAAAAAUUUGAUUUUUUCCCAUAGAAUGCAUGGGUUAGGGUUAUGGUUAGGGUUAGGGUUGGAGCUAGGGUUAGGGUUAGGGUUAGGGUUGGAGUUAGGGUUAGUGUUGGAGCUAGGGUUAGGGUUGGGCUUGGAGCUAGGAUUUUUCUGAGUGCACUGAACCAACUCCCGAGUCUCUAGGACAUUCCUAAAAAAAUUUGAUUUUUUUCCCAUAGGAAUGCAUGGGUUAGGGUUAUGGUUAGGGUUAGGGUUGGAGCUAGGGUUAGGGUUAGGGUUAGGGUUGGAGUUAGGGUUAGUGUUGGAGCUAGGGUUAGGGUUGGGCUUGGAGCUAGGAUUUUUCUGAGUGCACUGAACCAACUCCCGAGUCUCUAGGACGUUCCUAAAAAAAUUUGAUUUUUUCCCAUAGGAAUGCAUGGGUUAGGGUUAGGGUUAGGGUUGGAGCUAGGGUUAGGGUUAGGGUUAGGGUUGGAGUUAGGGUUAGUGUUGGAGCUAGGGUUAGGGUUGGGCUUGGAGCUAGGAUUUUUCUGAGUGCACUGAACCAACUCCCGAGUCUCUAGGACAUUCCUAAAAAAAUUGAGUUUUUCCCAUAGGAAUGCAUGGGUUAGUUAGGUUAGGGUUAGGGUUGGAGCUAGGGUUAGGGUUAGGGUUAGGGUUGGAGUUAGGGUUAGUGUUGGAGCUAGGGUUAGGGUUGGGCUUGGAGCUAGGAUUUUUCUGAGUGCACUGAACCAACUCCCGAGUCUCUAGGACAUUCCUAAAAAAAUUUGAUUUUUUCCCAUAGGAAUGCAUGGGUUAGGGUUAUGGUUAGGGUUAGGGUUGGAGCUAGGGUUAGGGUUAGGGUUAGGGUUGGAGUUAGGGUUAGUGUUGGAGCUAGGGUUAGGGUUGGGCUUGGAGCUAGGAUUUUUCUGAGUGCACUGAACCAACUCCCGAGUCUCUAGGACAUUCCUAAAAAAAUUUGAUUUUUUCCCAUAGGAAUGCAUGGGUUAGGGUUAUGGUUAGGGUUAGGGUUGGAGCUAGGGUUAGGGUUAGGGUUAGGGUUGGAGUUAGGGUUAGUGUUGGAGCUAGGGUUAGGGUUGGGCUUGGAGCUAGGAUUUUUCUGAGUGCACUGAACCAACUCCCGAGUCUCUAGGACAUUCCUAAAAAAAUUUGAUUUUUUCCCAUAGGAAUGCAUGGGUUAGGGUUAUGGUUAGGGUUAGGGUUGGAGCUAGGGUUAGGGUUAGGGUUAGGGUUGGAGUUAGGGUUAGUGUUGGAGCUAGGGUUAGGGUUGGGCUUGGAGCUAGGAUUUUUCUGAGUGCACUGAACCAACUCCCGAGUCUCUAGGACAUUCCUAAAAAAAUUUGAUUUUUUCCCAUAGGAAUGCAUGGGUUAGGGUUAUGGUUAGGGUUAGGGUUGGAGCUAGGGUUAGGGUUAGGGUUAGGGUUGGAGUUAGGGUUAGUGUUGGAGCUAGGGUUAGGGUUGGCCUUGGAGCUAGGAUUUUUCUGAGUGCACUGAACCAACUCCCGAGUCUCUAGGACGUUCCUAAAAAAAUUUGAUUUUUUCCCAUAGGAAUGCAUGGGUUAGGGUUAGGGUUAGGGUUGGAGCUAGGGUUAGGGUUAGGGUUAGGGUUGGAGUUAGGGUUAGUGUUGGAGCUAGGGUUAGGGUUGGGCUUGGAGCUAGGAUUUUUCUGAGUGCACUGAACCAACUCCCGAGUCUCUAGGACAUUCCUAAAAAAAUUUGAUUUUUUCCCAUAGGAAUGCAUGGGUUAGGGUUAGGGUUAGGGUUGGAGCUAGGGUUAGGGUUAGGGUUAGGGUUGGAGUUAGGGUUAGUGUUGGAGCUAGGGUUAGGGUUGGGCUUGGAGCUAGGAUUUUUCUGAGUGCACUGAACCAACUCCCGAGUCUCUAGGACAUUCCUAAAAAAAUUUGAUUUUUUCCCAUAGGAAUGCAUGGGUUAGGGUUAUGGUUAGGGUUAGGGUUGGAGCUAGGGUUAGGGUUAGGGUUAGGGUUGGAGUUAGGGUUAGUGUUGGAGCUAGGGUUAGGGUUGGGCUUGGAGCUAGGAUUUUUCUGAGUGCACUGAACCAACUCCCGAGUCUCUAGGACAUUCCUAAAAAAAUUUGAUUUUUUCCCAUAGGAAUGCAUGGGUUAGGGUUAUGGUUAGGGUUAGGGUUGGAGCUAGGGUUAGGGUUAGGGUUAGGGUUGGAGUUAGGGUUAGUGUUGGAGCUAGGGUUAGGGUUGGGCUUGGAGCUAGGAUUUUUCUGAGUGCACUGAACCAACUCCCGAGUCUCUAGGACAUUCCUAAAAAAAUUUGAUUUUUUCCCAUAGGAAUGCAUGGGUUAGGGUUAUGGUUAGGGUUAGGGUUGGAGCUAGGUUUAGGGUUAGGAUUAGGGUUGGAGUUAGGGUUAGUGUUGGAGCUAGGGUUAGGGUUGGGCUUGGAGCUAGGAUUUUUCUGAGUGCACUGAACCAACUCCCGAGUCUCUAGGACAUUCCUAAAAAAAUUUGAUUUUUUCCCAUAGGAAUGCAUGGGUUAGGGUUAUGGUUAGGGUUAGGGUUGGAGCUAGGGUUAGGGUUAGGGUUAGGGUUGGAGUUAGGGUUAGUGUUGGAGCUAGGGUUAGGGUUGGGCUUGGAGCUAGGAUUUUUCUGAGUGCACUGAACCAACUCCCGAGUCUCUAGGACGUUCCUAAAAAUAUUUGAUUUUUUCCCAUAGGAAUGCAUGGGUUAGGGUUAGGGUUAGGGUUGGAGCAAGGGUUAGGGUUAGGGUUAGGGUUGGAGUUAGGGUUAGUGUUGGAGCUAGGCUUAGGGUUGGGCUUGGAGCUAGGAUUUUUCUGAGUGCACUGAACCAACUCCCGAGUCUCUAGGACAUUCCUAAAAAAAUUUGAUUUUUUCCCAUAGGAAUGCAUGGGUUAGGGUUAGGGUUAGGGUUGGAGCUAGGGUUAGGGUUAGGGUUAGGGUUGGAGUUAGGGUUAGUGUUGGAGCUAGGGUUAGGGUUGGGCUUGGAGCUAGGAUUUUUCUGAGUGCACUGAACCAACUCCCGAGUCUCUAGGACAUUCCUAAAAAAAAUUGAUUUUUUCCCAAAGGAAUGCAUGGGUUAGGGUUAUGGUUAGGGUUAGGGUUGGAGCUAGGGUUAGGGUUAGGGUUAGGGUUGGAGUUAGGGUUAGUGUUGGAGCUAGGGUUAGGGUUGGGCUUGGAGCUAGGAUUUUUCUGAGUGCACUGAACCAACUCCCGAGUCUCUAGGACAUUCCUAAAAAAAUUUGAUUUUUUCCCAUAGGAAUGCAUGGGUUAGGGUUAUGGUUAGGGUAAGGGUUGGAGCUAGGGUUAGGGUUAGGGUUAGGGUUGGAGUUAGGGUUAGUGUUGGAGCUAGGGUUAGGGUUGGGCUUGGAGCUAGGAUUUUUCUGAGUGCACUGAACCAACUCCCGAGUCUCUAGGACAUUCCUAAAAAAAUUUGAUUUUUUCCCAUAGGAAUGCAUGGGUUAGGGUUAUGGUUAGGGUUAGGGUUGGAGCUAGGGUUAGGGUUAGGGUUAGGGUUGGAGUUAGGGUUAGUGUUGGAGCUAGGGUUAGGGUUGGGCUUGGAGCUAGGAUUUUUCUGAGUGCACUGAACCAACUCCCGAGUCUCUAGGACAUUCCUAAAAAAAAUUGAAUUUUUCCCAUAGGAAUGCAUGGGUUAGGGUUAGGGUUGGAGCUAGGGUUAGGGUUAGGGUUAGGGUUGGAGUUAGGGUUAGUGUUGGAGCUAGGGUUAGGGUUGGGCUUGGAGCUAGGAUUUUUCUGAGUGCACUGAACCAACUCCCGAGUCUCUAGGACAUUCCUAAAAAAAUUUGAUUUUUUCCCAUAGGAAUGCAUGGGUUAGGGUUAUGGUUAGGGUUAGGGUUGGAGCUAGGGUUAGGGUUAGGGUUAGGGUUGGAGUUAGGGUUAGUGUUGGAGCUAGGGUUAGGGUUGGGCUUGGAGCUAGGAUUUUUCUGAGUGCACUGAACCAACUCCCGAGUCUCUAGGACAUUCCUAAAAAAAUUUGAUUUUUUCCCAUAGGAAUGCAUGGGUUAGGGUUAUGGUUAGGGUUAGGGUUGGAGCUAGGGUUAGGGUUAGGGUUAGGGUUGGAGUUAGGGUUAGUGUUGGAGCUAGGGUUAGGGUUGGGCUUGGAGCUAGGAUUUUUCUGAGUGCACUGAACCAACUCCCGAGUCUCUAGGACAUUCCUAAAAAAAUUUGAUUUUUUCCCAUAGGAAUGCAUGGGUUAGGGUUAUGGUUAGGGUUAGGGUUGGAGCUAGGGUUAGGGUUAGGGUUAGGGUUAGGGUUGGAGUUAGGGUUAGUGUUGGAGCUAGGGUUAGGGUUGGGCUUGGAGCUAGGAUUUUUCUGAGUGCAAUGAACCAACUCCCGAGUCUCUAGGACGUUCCUAAAAAAAUUUGAUUUUUUCCCAUAGGAAUGCAUGGGUUAGGGUUAGGGUUAGGGUUAGAGCUAGGGUUAGGGUUAGGGUUAGGGUUGGAGUUAGGGUUAGUGUUGGAGCAAGGGUUAGGGUUGGGCUUGGAGCUAGGAUUUUUCUGAGUGCAAUGAACCAACUCCCGAGUCUCUAGGAUGUUCCUAAAAAAAUUUGAUUUUUUCCCAUAGGAAUGCAUGGGUUAGGGUUAGGGUUAGGGUUGGAGCUAGGGUUAGGGUUAAGGUUAGGGUUGGAAUUAGGGUUAGUGUUUGAGCUAGGGUUAGGGUUGGGCUUGGAGCUAGGAUUUUUCUGAGUGCACUGAACCAAC
rnacentral:lncRNA from 1 species